rnacentral:rRNA from 1 species
UACGUAGGGGGCAAGCGUUGUCCGGAUUUAUUGGGCGUAAAGAGCGUGUAGGCGGCCAGACAGGUCAGCUGUGAAAACUCGAGGCUCAACCUCGAGACGUCGGUUGAAACCGUCUGGCUAGAGUCCGGAAGAGGAGAGUGGAAUUCCCGGUGUAGCGGUGAAAUGCGCAGAUAUCUGGAGGAAUACCGGUGGCGAAGGCGGCAUCCUGGACCAUUACUGACGCUGAGGCGCGAAAGCUAGGGGAGCAAACGGG